rnacentral:lncRNA from 1 species
CGGCAUCAGUAGCUCCUGUGAAUUCGUGCCGAGCACACCUGUCUACUACCUUCUCUCUCUUUCUCUCUUUUAGCCAUUCUCUCGAAUACUUUUUUUGUCUGUUUGAACAGCAGGAACAAGAAAUUUUUGAGUCGUGUGUUUGUGUAAACUUGCCAUCAAACUCUACCAUUUCCCAGGUGAUCAAGGUGACCGGAAACGAUAUUAUACACACACGCAUCCAUUUUUGUUUAAUGCCCUUUCCUUCCUUUUCUUUUUUUUUUCGCUGAAACAUUUUCCCGAACGAACCAAACUGACCGGAUACGACAAAGGCAAUGAAGCCCAUCCGCCGCAGCUUGCUGUUCAAAACCCGAUGGAUAAUAUAAUUUUAGCCAUAGGCUCUUUUUUGGGAUUUUUCUUUCGCUUAUUGUGCUGUUGGUUCCCAAUCACAGCAGCUAUAGACAGGUGACAGCAGCAGCCAAUGGCACCUGACGUGAUUUUUGGUUUGACUCUGGUGGCCUAAAUGUUCAAUGAUUCUUUUCUCUCAUGUGUCUAUAGGUCGGGGUAUUCCAUCAUCAUUAUCUUGAUACAUAGCCCCGGGCGAUGUUAUUAGAUUGCUCAGCAGUUGCUUCGUCUUCUUCUUCCUACGACGCGCUCGACUGGCUGGCAACCCGCCCCCGCCACUUCCGUCGCUCACGGCCAUUUUUCCAUCAUUCGCCAUCUAUCGGAUUUCUUGUUCCCCAACUGGCAACCCGGCGCCGGCGCUUUCUUAUCGACCAAUCAGACGACGCUGCCACGCCCCCUUUUAUUCCGGAGCAAUAAGAAACAGUGACCAAUCACUGAUGCGAUCUUUGGAAUCAAUCGGAAUUUGUCGGUUGUUUUGUUGGCCGAUUCCCGCAAUGGCACUGGAAGAAUUCACGGGUCGCAAUUAAAUUUGACAGAUUUGAAUUUCUGGAAAAUGACACACUCGUGGAUCUUCAGUGCUGUACCGGGCGUCGGUUAUUCCAUCUUCUACUUAUCUUUCAUCAUUUCAUUUGAAUUGAAUUAUCUAAACAUUAUUGAGAGACUAUAUGUAGGGAAUUAAAUAUUCCGGUGAUCCUUGGCACUGGAAGAAUUCACAGAGUGCAUUACGACAGGUCGUGGGUUCCCUGGUGCCAGAGAUUGCUCCCGGAAAUCAAUAUCAUCACAAUUACAUUUAUGCUAUAGGAAUUGAUUUAUCGAUUUAUUGCCCGUGCCUAUUUCUGUCUAAUGUCUAUGUACAAUUGUCGCGUCUGUAUAAUAAACUCUGGAAUCGUUA